rnacentral:rRNA from 1 species
GCGUGCGGGAAGAAGGCCUUCGGGUUGUAAACCGCUUUUGUCAGGGAAGAAACGGUUCAUAUUAAUACUAUGGACUAAUGACGGUACCUGAAGAAUAAGCACCGGCUAACUACGUGCCAGCAGCCGCGGUAAUACGUAGGGUGCAAGCGUUAAUCGGAAUUACUGGGCGUAAAGCGUGCGCAGGCGGCUUUGCAAGACAGAUGUGAAAUCCCCGGGCUCAACCUGGGAACUGCAUUUGUGACUGCAUCGCUAGAGUGCGGCAGAGGGGGAUGGAAUUCCGCGUGUAGCAGUGAAAUGCGU